rnacentral:rRNA from 1 species
UCGGAGAGUUUGAUCCUGGCUCAGGACGAACGCUGGCGGCGUGCCUAAUACAUGCAAGUCGAGCGGACAGAAGGGAGUUUGCUCCCGGAUGUUAGCGGCGGACGGGUGAGUAACACGUGGGUAACCUGCCUGUAAGACUGGGAUAACUCCGGGAAACCGGAGCU